UGAUCCGACUGUAUAUGCUUCCAAGUUCACAGUACCAACCUAUGCUCCAUGUUUACAAAUGUUUCAAACUAUACUAAGAGCAAGUACAAUAGAAUAGUCAGCUGCUGGUUAUAAGCCAUGGCAAUCAGUUGCUAGUUAUAAGCCAUUGCCAUGUCAUCUAUAGUGAGCACGUUCUAUAGCUGGCUCUUAACUAAGAUCCCGCUUACCUUCUCUCUCCUCUUCUCUUUCCUCUAACUAAACAAAAAUAUAUUAGUUUACGGUGAUCCAAUUGUAUUAAUAUCUGCUAUGAUCCCAAUGUACCAACCUAUGGUAAGUAUACAUAUAGGAUUAAUUAGGCUGUGCUCUCCUGAGACGAAACCACGGAUGGGGGAGAGAUAGCCACAAAGAGAAGCUCAACCACCUAGCCAUAAAGUGCAUCCUGUACUAGUCGGAAUCUGUUGCUCUGUAAUGACGAUGACACAGAGCAGUUUCAUAUAAGAGUUGCAACCAUUUCAAGAAAAUGUUUGGCAAUCAUUCAGGUCAAGCUGGACCCCAAAUUAGUUUUUUGCAAAACAGUAUAUCCCGGAGGUAGCCCGUUUGGCUUACGUUUUAGCAAAGCUGAAUUUUCUGAAGUAGAGCAUUCCCAAACAGGCUCUAAGAAUGUGCCAAUUUACAAAGAACUUUUAACUUUGUCAACCAAAAAACUAGCAUACAACAGGGGUAAGCCAAAGNNN
rnacentral:lncRNA from 1 species